GACGAACGCUGGCGGCAUGCCUAACACAUGCAAGUCGAACGAGACCUUCGGGUCUAGUGGCGCACGGGUGCGUAACGCGUGGGAACCUGCCCUUAGGUUCGGAAUAACUCCCCGAAAGGGGUGCUAAUACCGGAUAAUGUCUUCGGACCAAAGAUUUAUCGCCUUUGGAUGGGCCCGCGUUGGAUUAGCUAGUUGGUAGGGUAAAAGCCUACCAAGGCGACGAUCCAUAGCUGGUCUGAGAGGAUGAGCAGCCACACUGGGACUGAGACACGGCCCAGACUCCUACGGGAGGCAGCAGUGGGGAAUAUUGGACAAUGGGCGAAAGCCUGAUCCAGCAAUGCCGCGUGAGUGAUGAAGGCCUUAGGGUUGUAAAGCUCUUUUACCCGGGAUGAUAAUGACAGUACCGGGAGAAUAAGCUCCGGCUAACUCCGUG
rnacentral:rRNA from 1 species